GCAAGGGCCAGAGAGGGGAAAUGCCUCCAUUAGGGUAACUCAGAGGGUCUCCUAACCCGCAGAGAACUGUUCUUCCCACUCCCACCUCCACCUCAUUCAGGCAUCCCCAAUUCUUCCAAACUACGUGCCCACUGCAGUAGCAGCACGCAUCAUAGCAGAUGUUCAAGGAAUCUCUGAUACUUGUGUGAUUGUGCAGCCUUCACCACCACACCCUGGAGCUUUGAGGACCUUAGUAUUCACUACAGACGAACCGGAGACUCCUCAGCCCCCAGGUGCAGCAGGAUUCCAGCUGGUCCAGAAGAAACAAGUGCAGCUGCGUGAGUAAGAGCCCAGCCUAGCCCUCAAUCAGAAUAACAGCCCCUGAGAGGAGUCUCGGUCUGUCACCCAGGCUGGAGUGCAGUGGCACGAUCUCAGCUCACUGCAACAGGAGGACAAUCUUAAUACAACAUUUCCCCUGGUUAGUGAAGGGGAUGAGAGUUCCCUUGGGUGGACAACUGGUAACUCCAUGUGCCCUGCUGUGAACAUUGGCUACCCUCUGGGACAAGGCAGAAGCUCAAGACUGGAGCCAGCUGAGGCCUAGUCUCCCUUCCCAUUUAGCAGUUUAUUAGUGUCUCUUUAAUAUCGACUUGCCCUGGGACCCUAAAAGCAAGCCAGAAAUAAAGUUUGAAUCGAAUCCCCACAGGAGCCUGCCGUGGUACCCUGGUCGGUUUCCUCCCACAUCCGGAAGAUGUGCAUGUUAGGCAAACUGGUGUGUAAUCCCAGCGUGAAUGACUGUGGGUGUGUGUGAGUGUGCUCUGCAAUGGGAUGGCGUCCUGUCAAGGACUGGUUACUGCCUUGAGCCCUGAACUGCCGGAUAGGCUCUGGCCACCCGAACUCUAAACUGGAAUAAGCGGAUGCGGAAACUGAGGCUCAGGAAGACUGAGUGACUUGCCAAGGCCACCAACUGGCAAUUGUUAGAGCCAGACUAUGAACCCAGGACAGCUUGACUACUGAACCUAAACUCUUUGUCACUCUGCACUAAUAAUUUUGAGUGGGUUCUGGUUUUAUCAAAGUCCUCCCUAAGUUCAAAUUUCUGGUUACAAUACUUUC